UACGGAGGGUGCAAGCGUUAUCCGGAUUUACUGGGUUUAAAGGGUGCGUAGGUGGGCAGAUAAGUCAGCGGUGAAAUCUCCGGGCUUAACCCGGAAACUGCCAUUGAUACUAUUUGUCUUGAAUAUCCUGGAGGUGAGCGGAAUAUGUCAUGUAGCGGUGAAAUGCUUAGAUAUGACAUAGAACACCCAUUGCGAAGGCAGCUCACUACGGAUAUAUUGACACUGAGGCACGAAAGCGUGGGGAUCAAACAGG
rnacentral:rRNA from 1 species